rnacentral:rRNA from 1 species
GGCUAUGACGGGUAUCCGACCUGAGAGGGUGAACGGACACACUGGAACUGAGACACGGUCCAGACUCCUACGGGAGGCAGCAGUAGUGAAUAUUGCUCAAUGGGGGAAACCCUGAAGCAGCAACGCCGCGUGGAGGAUGAAGGUUUUAGGAUUGUAAACUCCUUUUGUUAGAGAAGAUAAUGACGGUAUCUAACGAAUAAGCACCGGCUAACUCCGUGCCAGCAGCCGCGGUAAUACGGAGGGUGCAAGCGUUACUCGGAAUCACUGGGCGUAAAGAGCGCGUAGGCGGGGUAGUCAGUCAGGUGUGAAAUCCUAUGGCUUAACCAUAGAACUGCAUUUGAAACUACUAUUCUAGAGUGUGGGAGAGGUAGGUGGAAUUCUUGGUGUAGGGGUAAAAUCCGUAGAGAUCAAGAGGAAUACUCAUUGCGAAGGCGACCUGCUGGAACAUUACUGACGCUGAUUGCGCGAAAGCGUGGGGAGCAAACAGAAUUAGAUACCCUGGUAGUCCACGCCCUAAACGAUGGAUGCUAGUUGUUGGAGGGCUUAGUCUCUCCAGUAAUGCAGCUAACGCAUUAAGCAUCCCGCCUGGGGAGUACGGUCGCAAGAUUAAAACUCAAAGGAAUAGACGGGGACCCGCACAAGCGGUGGAGCAUGUGGUUUAAUUCGACGAUACACGAAGAACCUUACCUAGGCUUGACAUCGAGAGAAUCCGCUAGAAAUAGUGGAGUGUCUGGCUUGCCAGACCUUGAAAACAGGUGCUGCACGGC